rnacentral:rRNA from 1 species
CCCUUAGAUGUUCUGGGCCGCACGCGCGCUACACUGACGAUGGCAACGCGUUUUUCCUUCGCCGAAAGGUGUGGGUAAUCUUUUGAAACAUCGUCGUGCUGGGGAUAGAUCAUUGCAAUUUUUGAUCUUGAACGAGGAAUUCCUAGUAAGCGCGAGUCAUCAGCUCGCGUUGAUUACGUCCCUGCCCUUUGUACACACCGCCCGUCGCUACUACCGAUUGAAUGGUUUAGUGAGGACUCCUGAUUGGCGCCGCCGCCCCGGCAACGGAGCAGCGGACUGCCGAAAAGUUGUUCAAACUUGAUCAUUUAGAGGAAGUAAAAGUCGUAACA